UAGGGCUUAUAUGUUGGUUUUGGGUUUCGGGGCCCAAAAGCGUUUUGGUCCAAAAGGCCCAUUAUGUUUAAGUUGUAUGACAACUAAAACAAAAUGGGCAAAUAGCCCAAUAACACCAAGGAGGGCGGGCCAUUAGGGUGAAUGGGCAAGUUUGCCACUCACCAAAGAAAUGAAGUAUAAAAGGAACUUUAUAGCUUUAUUUUCAUUUAGGGGUUUUCUAGUUGAAAUUGGGUGAAACAUUUUCUCCAUUUUCUUCCAAGAGGCCGGCCACUAAAGGAAGGGACAUCUAGCAAUCUCUUCUUCCUUAAGUCAUCCAUAUCAUCUUCACAAGAUACAUCCUUGGUGAAGAGACUUAGAGACUUAGAGACAUCAAGUUUUUGGUGUUUUGGAGAACCAAUCCUUAUUUCCUCAAAUCUUCAAAGGAGCACUAAAGGGAGGAAAACACAAGGAGGAUCCAAGGAGCAAGGAGGUGACUUGAAGGCCCUCCACUUGGGUGAAUCCCUUGUGUAAUCAAGGAUGAGCUUCAAGGGUAAAGAAUCACUAAAUUCUUCUUUCUCUUUAAUGUUGUUAAAGAGUUUAUUUUGGUUCACCAUAUACUAGGCUUUGAAAGUCAUGGGUUUUAUGAAUUGUUUUUGGAUGCAUGCCUACUUUAAAGUGUUAAUUGCUAGCAUAUGUAUUCAAAUGUUCAUACUUGUUCUUAGCUAGGACAAAAUUUUUCCUUCAAGUGGUAUCAGAGCCUAGGCCUAGUUUAUGGUGAAUCCUUUUGGGUUUUGUGACUUUCAUAUUUUGUGAUUUAAAUGUUGUAAAUGUUACAAGCUUUGUUCUUGCUUUUGAAAUAUAUAAAUUUUGCUAGAAAAUUUAGCAUCUCAAAUGUUGUAGAUGUAUUUCAUUUAAGCAUGAAUAUUGGAACUAAAAUUUGGUGCCAUGUGUUUUGGGAAAUUCGGCCAAAUCCAAAGGGUGAUUUUUUGGGUUCAUGUUUGUCUUGUUAAAAUGGUUUUAAAGUGACUUAUGGAACCCCUAAGUACCCUAGGAUAUUAGCCCUCUUUUUGAGUGGUGAAAAAUUGAGUUUUGGUGAGUGAAAACAUUCAUGGAGCUAUUAUGAGUUUUCAUGGUGUUCUUCAAUGUUCAUGAAGUUCUUGCCAAGAACAUAAAGUUUUGAAGUUUUGAUUCAAAAGUUUUAUGUUUUUCAUAAAGUUUUGGUUUAUAUUUGAUGGGUGAUGGUUAUUGAUGAAGGAUAAUAUAUAUCUUAAUUGUUAGACAAAAUUUCAUUAAUGUUUGACAAAAAUAUCUUACAAACUUAUCCUUAUCACAUUUACAUCACCUAAUAAAAUCAACUUGCAAAAACUUUUUAGAAAUUUUUCAUUUAUCCUAUCCUUGGCCGGCCAACCUUGCAAGUGGGGUAUUUUUGGGUCUUUUGUGCAAUUACAUAAAGUUUUAAUACUUUUGUGUAUUUGCACUUUGGCCCAAAAGUUUACAUUUUUUACGUUAAGGCCCAAAAACUCUAAAGGACAAAUUGUUUUGAUCCUUUAAUGAUGUUUUUACAUUAUUAAAAUUUUGGGAUCUAGUUGUAAUUACAUGAAGUUGUGGACUAUUGUGUUUUUACAAAGUGACCCCAAAAGUUUUUGUAUUUGCAUUGUGGCCCAAAUGUUGUGGUCAUAGUUUCCUUUUGGCCCAAAAGAAUGAGAACAAAAUUGUUUUGUCUCUUAAAUGAGAAUUGGAUUUUCAUUUCAUUUAGUUCCAUUUAAAUCAAUUCUAUGGAUCCAAAAACCAAUUGUUUAAAGUUGUUUUCUUAGUUAAUGUGAUUGAUUAAGAAAAGGGUGAUUAUGAACCAAAGGCCUCGAUAAUUAAGCUAUGUGAAUGGCCGAUUUACAUUAUGAAUGUUUGGGUUUAGUAGUGUAGAUUUGAAUGUAAUUUGAUUAAUUCAAGUUGUUGUAAAUGGACAUAAGUCCAUCAUUUGAUUUGUGUUGUAAAAGGGCAUAAGCCCUUCUUAUUAUUUCAUGUAUUCCUUUUUGUUGAUAUGCAUGCAAAAUGGAAUAGUUGGGUCCAACGCCCAAUAGGAAAUAACGGUUUAAUUGGAUUAAACGCGUAACUAAAAUCAACAUCUACCUACCUUAGACCCAAGGUCCAACACAAGGCUCGUGUUGGAUCAAAUUGAAUGGUUCAUAAUCAUCCUAAAACCUAAUAUGACUAUAUAGUCCAUAUGAGGAUGCAAUGCAUUCGUUAGUAGUUCCAUAUAGUCUCACUUAUUUCUUCGAAAUAGUGGGAGUAUUAUAAACUACUAAAUUUAUAUUAAACUUGGACCAAUAGUUGUGAUAGGCCCAAGUUCUUUUAAUGUGAUUAAAAUGUUUUGAUGUAGCCCAAAACUACUCCCUCAAAAAACCGAAUAUUAAGUUGAUAAGCGAGAGAUGCUUUGAACAUCUCUUCGUAGGCCUUCCACCGUGGUGGGCUUCAAUCGUUUGUGACUCAUACACCGUAUUCGUCCAGUUCUGGGGUAUGCAAAGUAUGUGCUUACAUUCAGGAGAAGCCCAUAAACAUAUGAUGAAGUGAAAGUAGGCAACGAGUAUGGCCAAUAUGGAGUUCUUCUGAGGUCAGUCUUGAACCCCUACUUGAACUAGUAUGGUGGGAAUAACUUAACUAAGUGCAAUGGUGCCAAUAUGGAGUUCUUCUGAGGCAUCAUUCUCUAGAGGCCAAAAUAGAUGGGUAAUUACAAAAGUUGUAAAUGGAUAAUGCGUUAUCCUCUCAUCAUUAUUGUUGCUAGCCAAUAUGGAGUUCUUCUGAGGUGGGCUUGGUAAUGGUGAGUCUCCCAUAACCCGCUAAGAGUUCAAUAUAACUCUCGAAUUCUAUUGAGGGAUGUGGAAUUUGCAAAAAUAGUGGGUGGUACUAUAUUUGAUUCAAAAGACCCAAUCAAAUAGUUUUAAACAAACAAUCUAAUACGAUUUCUGUUAUGUUAUGUAGUGAACGACAUGCCUAAAAUUAUAUACCCACCAUUAUACUUGACAAAAAAGGGGCCUUAAGGGCCAACGUUUUUCCUUGCUUGGUAUCGCCACAUUGAGAAUGUCUCAAAUGUGAAAGACAUAUUGUAUGUGCUUAAGCAAUCCCCUCCUCAUGUACCUCCUACGAAACUAGCUUCAAAGGAGGAGUGUCAAAAUUAUGUUAGACACUAUGAGGAUGACUUACAACAAGCCAAAUGCUUAAUCCUUACUUCACUUAGUGAGGAGCUUAUGAAGCUACAUAAGCACAUGGACACUUCUUGUGCCAUGGUUGAAAGUUUGCAUAAGAUGUAUGACAUUGAGACUAGUAAUGUACGAUUCUCAAAUGUUUGUAGUAAUAUGAAUGCCAAGAUGGCAAAAUGCAAAGGGGCAUCGGUCCAUAAACAUGGACAAAAGAUGGAAAAAGAUAAAAGAUAUUUAAAAAGAUCUUAAAAAGUUUAGGAACUUCCAUCGAUGGGAAAAUGGCCCAGGACUUUUUCCUUGCAUCUCUCUCGGAUGAUUUCACUAAAAGUUUAUUGUAAAAUAAAAGUGAAAGAUUCGAGAUUUCUUUAAGAGAUGAUUGACAUGUGUUGUAAAUUUGAAAAAGUUAAGGUUUGGAAUGGAAAAUGGGAGUAUGCAAACACAAGAAAAGGUUGAAUAAGAAGAAGGCAAACAAAUCCAAAGGAAACAUGCUUUCAUUGUCAAAGGGAAAGGAUGAACGUUGGAAGAAGAAAUACAGGGUGCGCAUUGCGAGCCUUAUGUGACACGAACUUUUGAAGAGACUAUUUCUGUCAUAGAGAGUGCUUUUACAGUGAGCUCCAGUUCCUAAGAUAUUUGAUUCAGGCGCUAGUCAAACAUAUCUGUAUAAUACGAUGUAGGGAGGGACUAGUGGGAGGCAGAUCACUGAGCAAUGGGAGAUGGUUUGUGCGCGUUGGGAACGGCACUAAAAUCUCUGCAAAAGCAAUAGGCACCUACAUGCUUAACCUACCUUCUGGGGAAGUCCUGGAACUUAAAAAAUUGUUUAUAUUUUCCUUCAUGUAUAAAGAAUUUGAUUUCCAUCUCUAAGCUUUUACGAGAUGGGCACUCAGUAUUGUUUGAGUUUUGACAAAUGAGUUGCACUUUAUAUUUGAACGGUCGUAUUAUCUCUCAUGGUAAUAUGAUAGAAGGACUUUUUCACCUAGAGACGAAUAGUGUGGGAUGCGACUGCACUGUAUUGAAAGCAGGAAUACCUCAAAACCCAAAAGGGCUAGAGAAGAAGUUAACCAAGAAAAGAUGUGGCAUCUUAAACUUCGACAUGUGAACCUUGAUAAGAUUCGCAAGAUGUCGAAAGACGGAUAUAUCCGCCCAUUAGGUAAUGACCAAAUGGGUACUUGUGAAUGUUGCUUGAAAGGGAAGAUGACCAAAUCUCCAUUUACUGGAAAAGGAGAGAGUGCCACUGAAAUUCUAGGGUUAAUCCACACUGACAUAUGUGGACCUAUGUCUACUACGUCGAGAGGAGGCUUCUCCUACUAUAUCACAUUCACCGACGAUCACUCUCGGUUUGGCUAUGUGUAUCUUAUGAAGUACAAGUCAGAAUCCUUUGAAAGGUUCAAAGAAUUCAAGAAUGAAGUUGAGAAGCAAACUGGGAAACAGAUAAAGACCCUAAGAUCGGAUCGAGGGGGUGAAUAUCUGAGUAACGAGUUCCUAGAUUAUCUCAAAGAGUGUGGAAUUGUAUCACAGUGGACUCCACCAGGAACUCCUCAGUGAAGGAAUAUUUUGUGAAAACAUGUUCAUUUAAGCAACAUCAAUAACCAUGCAAUUAACAAUUAAAGGCGGAAUCAUGCUAGCAUGCACUUAAAAACAAAACAUUAACCAAGAAAUUCAAAGCCUAGUAGAUUGGUGAACCAAAACUCAACUCAAAUCAAAGUGAGUUGAAAUUUAUACCUUUGUAGAUUCCUCUUUGCAUAAGCAAAGGCUAAUCACCCAAAGAGAGGGCCUUCAUUCCUUGCAUCUAAAAUCUAUGGAUUUGGAUGGAAGAAUAGGUUUCUCCAAGUUCCCAAAAUUGAGAACCUCUAAGUCUCUUCACCAAGGAGAGAUUGGAGAAGAAAUGAGUGACCUUGGAGUAGUGGGAUUGCAAGAUGCACCCCUCAAGGUGGCCGGCCUCUUUAGAGAGAAAUGGAGAGACAAGUUCUCACCAAUUUUCUCCAAAACAAACCCUUAAUGAAUUUUGGCUAUAAAGUCAUAUUUAUACCUUUAUUCAUUUGAGUGGCAAACUUGUAAAUAAGUCCAAGUUCACUACCCUAAACAUCAUGGCCGGCCAUUGGGAUAUUGUUGGAAGUAUGCCCACAAAGCCACUCAUUUGAUGUAAUAGCUUUUGGAAUACUUAUUGUAUUAAACUUUUAUAUGUUUAAUGAAGGGCAAAGCUUAUUGUUAAUCACUAUUUAUUGUAUCAUGUGUUUAAGCAAUAAGGGAAUCCAAGGAAUGUAUUUGUUCUAAGAGAUAAGUGAUCUAAUGAGUUAGAUUAUCGAGACCUCUCUCUUAUGUUCAUUCCUAAAACAUUCCUAGCCAUAGGAUUGCCAAUUGGGCAUUGACAAUCCGCUAAGGUUAGUAUGUGUUAUGUUGACUCAAACGUGAGUAUGAACUAGUCUCAAGUCAUUUGGUGUUGGACACUGAGACAAACACAUAGGUGCUCGAAAAGGUAAUCGAGUACACUGAACGUCGAUCAAAAGAGAGUUCGAACAUACAUGUCAUGUAUGAACUCUGAAGUUGCAAUAUGCAAAGUAGUCCUUUGACCUGAGGCAUCAUAGAUGUCUAAUGGUUAGGUCCUUGAUCUUUGAUCAUGUCAACAGCAUUCCUUCGGAUUGUCCACGGCAUUGUUGGGGUCAAGCUAUCUAGUCAUGUAGGCAUAUGAAUGCACAACAAGGGAUCUCUAACCUUCCAUGGUGGAAGGAGAAUACUCUAAGAUAUGAUUCUAAAGUCUUUGGCCAAAGCAUAUGAAUAUGACUUAGGAAGUUUGUUCCAAAAUCAUAUUCAAAGGAAUCAUAUAGGAAAGUAUCACAUUGGAUAGUAGACAUGAAACAAACUAUCACUUAAACAAUGUGAUUAAGAGUAUUGUAUUAGAGAAGGACCGUAUUGCAUUGUAGUUGUAACUGGAUAGGUUCUCCAACCAAUUCUACUUAGCUUGGGUAACCAUGAUAUGCUGCUAGGUGUCACUCAUGGUUUGUGGAAGCCCUGAAGAUUAGCAAACACUAAUCUUAUGGGAGAAUUGAAAUGUGGUUUCAAUUCACAAUCGAUCGUUAAGAGUAACAUCGCCCACUGCCUCGCUAAUUGGAACCUAAUGGAUCGCACACCACAUAAGGAUGUUAGUGAAGAAAUUAUAUGAAAUAGAAAUUGGGUGAAACAUUUUUCUCUCAUUUUCUACAUAGAGGCCGGCCACUUAGAGGAUUUUUACUAGCAUCUAAAAUCUCUCUAAGUCAUCCAUAUCAUCUUCACAAUAUACAACCUUGGUGAAGAGACUUAGAGACAUCAAGCUUUUGAUGUUUUUGGAGAACAAAUCCUUUUUCCUCAAAUCAUCAAAGGAGCA
rnacentral:lncRNA from 1 species